rnacentral:lncRNA from 1 species
UGCUGUGAACUGAGAAAGUUUGGGACCUUUGGCAUAACUAAAUCCUUCAUUUAACAGUUACUCUUGAACAGUUCAGACAAAUGUUAAUUUCAGUAAGAACUGCAUUAACAAGAUGAGAAAAAUGGAGUGUUGUGAACCACUUGUCAUGGGAUAACCAAAAUUAAACCUGGAAUCGCAGAAGAAACAAAUUUUUUGAAGAAAUUGGAUGUACUUUUUUAAAAUUUUUCAUUCAACUAAAACUUUGUUAACUGUUUCUUGGUUGUGGUCUUCUCUAAAUUGUAAUCUUUGGCAUUCACUUCCAAAGUAUCCACCACUAAACUUCAUAACAUUUAUUGUGUCUCUUCAUCAUUAAACUUUGAUGAAUUUA